GGCACGCCCCUGUCCUUCUCUUCCUGUAAACAAAGCAGCAGUUGCUGUGGAGCGCUUCUGACAUUUUCCUGUGUUUUCGCCAUAUUUUGGACGAUGGCUCAAGCCGGCGUGGUCCUGGACAGGGACCAGUUUAACUGCUCCAUCUGCCUGGACGUGCUGAGGGACCCGGUGACCAUCCCGUGCGGACACAGUUACUGCUCGGUGUGUAUCCAGAACUACUGGGACCAGGACGACUACCUCGGAGCGUUCGUCUGCCCGCAGUGUCGCCAGAACUUCAACCCGAGGCCGCUGCUGGCCAGGAACACCAUGCUAGCCGACGUGGUGGAGAAGUUUAAAAAGACGGGUCUCCAGGAGGCCGCAGCGCCUCCCAAUCAAAGUUUCGCCGAAGCCGGUGACGUGGAGUGCGACGUGUGCACCGGGAGGAAGAACAAGGCUGUCCGCUCCUGUCUAGUGUGUCUGGCCUCCUACUGCGACCUUCACCUCCAGCCUCACUACGACUCCGCCGCAUUCAAGAAGCACAAGCUGGUGGCGGCCUCCAAGCGGCUCCAGGACAACAUCUGCCCCCGACACGACAAGCUGCUGGAGGUGUACUGCCGCAGCGACAGACGCUGCAUCUGCUACCUGUGUCUGACCGACGAACACAAGGGCCACGACACGGUGCUGGUGGAGGAAGAAAUCCAGCAGAAACAGAAGCAGCUCAAAGACAUGAAGCAGAGCUCCCUGCUGAGGAUUCAGCAACGAGAAAAGGAGGCGCAGGAGCUGAGACAAGGCAUUUUCUCUCUCAUCCGUUCGGCUCGAGCAGCAGCUGAGGAGAGCGACGCCGUCUUUACUGAACUGAUUCGGUCGAUAGAGGUGAAGCGUUUCGAGGUGAGAGAGCUGAUCAAAGCCCAGGAGAAGACGGCCGUUGGUGAGGCUGAGCAGCUGCUGGACAAGAUCCAGAAGGAGAUCGCUGAGCUGAAGAAGAACGAGGCUGAACUAGACAAACUUUCCAACAGUGAUGACCCUGUGCAUUUCCUUCAGACCUGCCAGUCCCUCCAUGCUCCAGAUGUACUGUCGGCUUCACCUUCAGUCACCGCUGACCCCAACCUCACCUUCGGCCCGGUGAUGACAGCUGUGUCAGAUUUUAAGGGACUGCUGCAGGAGGUCUGUCAGGGAGGGUUUGUCAGCAUUUAUGAAAGAGUGAGAGACGUAGUAAUUGUAAGUCCCCAGAGUCCUGUGGUUCAGCUCGACACAGCACAGUCUGGAGACUCUGGGUCAGCCCAACAAAUGCAAGCACAGAUAUUAAUCCCUCCGCUUGGUCUGGACCAAAAUCCUGUGAGCCCCCUCAACCCGUUCCUCACUUCAGGACCUGCUGCGUUUACCUUCUCACCAUUUGAUUAAAUAUGGCUCUGUUGAAUGAAGAAAGAAUUGAACUGAUUCUUCUCAGUGGAUGUGAAGGAUGGACAUAUCAGGCUCCAAACUCUCCACAGGAUCCAGACAGCGGCACCUUCAGCGACGUGCUCACCCCAGGAAGAAAUAGACUUCUGGUGGACAUGUGUUCACAAAUCCACACUGCCACUCACGGGUGGACAUUUAAAAUAAUUCAUCUUCUGCUACUUGAAUCUGGUUACGGUGCAGGCGGGAAAACACUAGCAAAGUGCCACUGAAGACCACACAGACAAUGCAUUCACUUUAUGUUUUAAGUAUUAUUAAGUAUUAGGCAGCAGGACUGACUCACCACAGCUUACUUCAGUAAGUGUCAGUAUGUUACUGUCAUUUAGUCAAGUUUUAGUUUUUAUGAAAAUUGGAUUUUAUAAAUUUUUUUUUUCCAUUUUUAACCAAAACUCUGUCAACAAUCAUUUGCUUCGAAGACAGAAUGUAAUGUGUGAAAUGCUGACAUUAAAAAGCAACAUGACUGUUCUAUGUACGGAUAUACUGUUGGAUAAAAGAAAAUCUAAUAAAUUAUAAGCAUCAAAAAAAAAGCAACAUGACUGGA